rnacentral:rRNA from 1 species
UACGGAAGCAGCAGUGGGGAAUAUUGCACAAUGGGCGCAAGCCUGAUGCAGCCAUGCCGCGUGUAUGAAGAAGGCCUUCGGGUUGUAAAGUACUUUCAGUCGUGAGGAAGGUGUUAAGGUUAAUAACCUUAGCAAUUGACGUUAGCGACAGAAGAAGCACCGGCUAACUCCGUGCCAGCAGCCGCGGUAAUACGGAGGGUGCGAGCGUUAAUCGGAAUUACUGGGCGUAAAGGGCACGCAGGCGGUUAAUUAAGUUGGAUGUGAAAUCCCCGGGCUUAACCUGGGAAUGGCAUUCAAGACUGGUUAGCUAGAGUCUUGUAGAGGGGGUAGAAUUCCGAUGUGUAGCGGUGAAAUGCGUAGAGAUGUGGAGGAAUACCGGUGGCGAAGGCGGCCCCUGGACAAAGACUGACGCUCAUGUGCGAAAGCGUGGGGAGCAAACAGGGAUUAGAUACC